rnacentral:tRNA from 1 species
GCCGAGGUACGCAAGUUGGUAAAGCGGCCGUACUCAGAAUGCGGUGAUUCUGCGGGUUCGACUCCCGCCCUCGGCA